CACGUAGUUAGCCGGUCCUUAUUCUUCCGGUACCGUCAUCGACCCCAGGUAUUAACCAGAGCCAUUUCUUUCCGGACAAAAGUGCUUUACAACCCGAAGGCCUUCUUCACACACGCGGCAUUGCUGGAUCAGGCUUUCGCCCAUUGUCCAAAAUUCCCCACUGCUGCCUCCCGUAGGAGUCUGGGCCGUGUCUCAGUCCCAGUGUGGCUGAUCGUCCUCUCAGACCAGCUACUGAUCGUCGCCUUGGUGAGCCUUUACCUCACCAACUAGCUAAUCAGACAUCGGCCGCUCCUAUAGCAUGAGGCCUUGCGGUCCCCCACUUUCACCCUCAGGUCGUAUGCGGUAUUAGCUAAUCUUUCGACUAGUUAUCCCCCACUACAGGGCACGUUCCGAUGUAUUACUCACCCGUUCGCCACUCGCCAUCAAUCUAGCAAGCUAGAUCAUGCUGCCGUUCGACUUGCAUGUGUAAGGCAUGCCGCAGCGUUC
rnacentral:rRNA from 1 species